UGGAAGUAAAAGUCGUAACAAGGUCUCCGUAGGUGAACCUGCGGAGGGAUCAUUACAAGUGACCCCGGUCUAACCACCGGGAUGUUCAUAACCCUUUGUUGUCCGACUCUGUUGCCUCCGGGGCGACCCUGCCUUCGGGCGGGGGCUCCGGGUGGACACUUCAAACUCUUGCGUAACUUUGCAGUCUGAGUAAACUUAAUUAAUAAAUUAAAACUUUUAACAACGGAUCUCUUGGUUCUGGCAUCGAUGAAGAACGCAGCGAAAUGCGAUAAGUAAUGUGAAUUGCAGAAUUCAGUGAAUCAUCGAAUCUUUGAACGCACAUUGCGCCCCCUGGUAUUCCGGGGGGCAUGCCUGUUCGAGCGUCAUUUCACCACUCAAGCCUCGCUUGGUAUUGGGCAACGCGGUCCGCCGCGUGCCUCAAAUCGACCGGCUGGGUCUUCUGUCCCCUAAGCGUUGUGGAAACUAUUCGCUAAAGGGUGUUCGGGAGGCUACGCCGUAAAACAACCCCAUUUCUAAGGUUGACCUCGGAUCAGGUAGGGAUACCCGCUGAACUUAAGCAUAUCAAUAAGCGGAGGAA
rnacentral:misc_RNA from 4 species